ACUCAGAAUGUGCAGUAUGACUUCAACAGGUAGGUCAGGCCUCAUGGAUGCAAGUACUCUUGGCAUCUAAUGAUUGUUUAUGCCCAGUUCCAGCCUCAGCAAUGUUUUUAUUCCUUCAUCUGUCUUGGAUUGUAAGCCCCUUCAUCACCCUUUGAACCACCUAGAUCCUUAGAUGUUAGAGUGCAAAAUACUUAGAAAACAUACUUUAGCCAUGUUAUUAUCCAACGAGAACUAAAAUAGGCACAAAAACUGUUUGUAAGACUAAAAUCCUUAUCCUCAGAACUCACAAGAAAAUUCCUUCCCAAAAAUGUUAGUAAAACCCAGAGAUCUGGAUCCUAUAAGGAAAAGGUAGCAGAUGAGUAUAAGGCAGGCUAGCCCUGGCCUUGCCUCCUGAAUAAAUUAUGUCCAUAUUCCUGGAAAAUCAGAGAAAGACUAUGAAUUACAGUGGAUGGGGUAGAGAGAGAAGAUGGGAGGGGAGGGAGGGGGGAUGGUAGAGGAUAGGAAAGGUAGCAGAAUACAACAGUUACUAAUAGGGCAUUAUGUAAAAAUGUGGAUGUGUAACCGAUGUGAUUCUGCAAUCUGUAUUUGGGGUAAAAUUGGGAGUUCAUAACCAACUUGAAUCUAAUGUAUGAAAUAUGAUAUGUCAAGAGCUUUAUAAUGUUUUGAACAACCAAUAAAAAAAAUUAAAAAAAAAAAGAAAUUUGCAUAUUCCCAGUAUCUAGGGACAAAAAAAAAAAAAAAAAAUGCCAGGAACCAUAAAGCCCCUCCCAUGUCAACCCUUGACAUUGUAGCCAUUAGAAUUUAACUACUGCUUCCACUUCCUUGUUUUCAAUUUGGCAGAUGCUUUGUCUUGUUUGAACCCAGAGUAUACAAAAUAUAAACUACUGCUUCUGCACAGGAAUACCUAAAACCCUGUAGCAUAUUUAACAAAAAUAAUUUCAUUUCCUCCUCCAAUGGCUGUGAUGCUCAAAUUAGGAGUUUUCAUGGGUCAGUGCUAUGAGGACCAGCUCCAUAAGGGCAAGGACAAUUGUUUUGCGCUCUCCCUAACAUCUGCCAUAAUUUCUCUGUGUAUAGUUGGCAUGGGUGACGAUGUGACAAGCAAAGAAAUCUACCUAUCAUUGUGAUUAUGAUCUAGGUAUUUCUGUGAAGAUGUUGACUUUAACCUGAGAACAAACAGUAGUGGCCUGCUCAUCUGUCGCUUUAAUAACUUCAGCCUCAUGAAGAAACAUGUUCAGGUUGGCGGGCAAAGGGACUUUAUCAUUAAACCAAAGAUCAUGGUAAGAUUUGCAAGCUUGAUUCUGUUGAAAAUAAACAUAAUUCUUUCUGAUAUAUUUGUUAUUAGAUACUGGCAUUAAGCACUUUCCACGUUAGUAGAAAGUAAAGUAAACCAAGGGAGUUCUUUCUUUUUAAAGUUUUUUUUAGGUUUUUUAGUUCUGAGUGGACACAAUAUCUUUAUUUAUUUUUAUGUGGUGCUGAGGAUUGAACUCAGUGCCUCACACAUGCCAGGCAAGUGCUCUACCACUGUUAGCUAUGACCCCAGCCCCCAAGGGAGUUCUUGAUGUUAUCUAGGGAUUCACCUAGAGCCAAAACAAAAGUUUUAACAAUAUAAUUAUUUUUCUUUAGAUUUAAGAAAGUUUUCAUCAAAGUUUUAGUUUCAAAAUGGCAAACUUUACAUUUUGGUAUUCCUAGGUAAUUAACAUGAGAGAGAAAUUUAAAUCAAGAUGCAAGUCUGAUCCUUUCCCAGAUUUAUUUUUACAUAGUAAUACAGAUCAAAAUAAGAGUGAAUUUAACGUAAAGAGUGAAUUCCAUGAGCCUACUUUUUUCUAAGAGAUUUACUAAUACCUGAUCACUUACAGCAUGUGAACUGUCCAGUGGAUCUUAGAAACCUCUUGGCCUUUUUUGUGGGGCGGAGGGGGCAGUGGGAUAGGAUUCAAACCACAUGCAUCUAGCAGCAUUAGAAAUGGCUUCCUAUUGAACUGUACUAUGUACUUGUUAAAUGUAGUACAUUUCAAAAAAGCUUACUUACAACAAGCUUGCUCUUACUGUGUAUAACUUAUUUUAAAUACUAUUAUACUAUUUCCAAAAGAGGGAAAAAUUCAGGACCAAAAAUGACUGUCAUAAUAUUUGAAUUUAGCAUGUCACUGUGCUAUUGAUAAUGCAGUCAUGCCCCAUUAUCUGCAAUUUUAGUUACCCACGGUCAACCAUGGCUUGAAAAUAUUAGUAUCUGUCUUGAUUGUCAAGAGAGCACAUAACCUUUAUUACAGUAAGUACACUACUGAACUGUCCCACUGCAUUAUUGCUGUUAACCUCUUUUUUAAAAAAAAUAUUUUUUUAGUUGUAGUUAGACACAUUAUCUUUAUUUUUUAUGUGGUACUGAGGAUCGAACCCAGGACCUUGCACAUGCUAGGCGAGUGCUCCAUCGCUGAGCCACAACCCCAGCCCAUUAAUCUCUAAUUUUUAAAUUGAACUUUACCACAGGUAAUUAUGUAUAAAAGAAAACAGUGUACACAGAAUUUGAUACCAUCUAGGAUUUCAGGCAUCGAUUGAGGGCCUUGUAACAUAACCCUCUUGAAUAUGGGGGAAUAGUAUCUGGAAAUAUUAGGAUGCAAUACAAUGUGUCCUUGGACAUUUCAUCUAGUAACAGACACAACAUUUCCUAUGAUUACCUUGGCUCUUGAUUUCAGGUGUCGGAGAGUUUAGCUCCCAUCUUGCCCCUUCAGUAUGUCUGUGCACCCGACAGUGAACACACGUUACUGGCAGCCCCUGCGCAGUUUCUCCUGGAGAAGUUCCUUCAGCAUGCUGCAUAUAAACUCUUCCCCAAAGCCAUCCAUAACUUUAAGAGUCCUGUGCUGGCCAUUGACUGCUACCUUAACAUUGGACAGGAGGUAAAGGUGGGGGUGGCUAGUACUGUGCUUACCUACAUCCAUUUCUUUCCCAUUUAAUUUGGUUUGAAAACUUAAAUAGUGACAAAAGGAAGUCUAUAACGUACUCUGCAAAGGCUCACAUAUGAGGUAAUGGCAACUGUCCCUCCUCAUCCCUAUUUCACCUUUACAGAAUGAGCCAGUGACCAAUCAUAGCUUAGCUCAGAUGUCCUAUAAGAAUCCUACCUCAAAAAAAUAAAUAAAUAAAAUAAAAAAGAAUCCUACCUACCUCAAUGACAUUGGGCAGAAGCAAUUUCUAUCUCCCACCUGACUUGACAUUUAUUAGACACUAUUAUAAUUACAUGAAUCCAUUCCAUAAUACUGCAAUGUUCAGAGAAAGUACCUUAAGACCCAUUUGAUAUAAUAAUACUCUUGAUGUUAUCUAUAUAAAUUAUGUGUGUACCCCAGGUCUUCCAAUUCCACUAUCCCAGAGUCCAAAGCACUUAGUAUUAGAUAACCUCAAUACUACUCUUCUACUAACAGCAACUAACAUUUACUGAAUGCUAAGUGGUUUACAUUAAUUUAACUCACAAAUGCCUUAUGAAUCAGGUAACAUUUUUCUCAAUAUAAAUGAAUCUACUCCACAAUACUGUAAUUUACAUGAGUAACACUAAGGUGUAGCAAAAUACAUUUUCCCAGUGCCAUACAGCCACUAAAUAGAGAAGCCAGAAUGUGAACGCAAGCUGACUGGCCCACACAUUAGCCAUUCCACAGUUCUACUCCCAACUACUUUAUAACUUCACAAAAAUCACAGGGAAGUAUACAUUCUGCAUCUGCAAGCUUUAUAGAGCUAAAAUUUUAAAUUCAUGCAGUCUGCACCUCCUGGGGAUUGAACCUAGAUCCUUGUGCAUGCUGGGCAAGUGCUCCACCAUUGACAUACAAAAGCCCUGCCCUCAUGCUGUUUUAAAAUCCUACCCAACUGAAAAUUUUGUCUAGAUGAAAAGCUAAUUAAUUAAAAUUAUUUUUAUUCUCAAGUAACCUAAACAUUCUCUUUCCUAAAUAUACUUUUUAAAAAAUGAAAGAUAGUCCUUUUUAAAAUUUUAUAUUCUUUUUAUGGAGUUUUUCUCCUAAAAUGAAAUUAAUAUUAAAUCUCUGUCACAACAGACCUUUAUUAUGAAAAAUGGGAGACAUUUUAAACAGGUUAAAACUCGGUAUACUAAAAAGGAGAUGAAUAGCAUAAAUAACCACCACUCCUAACACUGAAAAAAAUUCAGCUUCUUUGUCUUACUGAAAAAAAGAGGAAGGCACUAACUCAUUCAACUAAAAUGCAGGUGAUUUGCUUGCUUUUGAAAUCCCCAUGCUAUUUCUGCUUGUUGCUUUCAGGUGGCCAUAUGCUACAUCAGCUCCAGACCCCAUUCCAGCAAUGUCAACUGUGAAGGGGUGUUUUUCAGUGGACUCCUUUUGUACCUCUGUGACUCUUUUGUAGGUGCUGAUCUUCUUAAGAAAUUUAAGUUUUUAAAAGGUAAAUCAAAUUAAGUAUCUUGAAUAUGAAUGUCACUGGUUCCCACUAGGAAAAAAUUCAGGUUUUUUUUUCUUUUUCUUUCUUUAAUGCAUAUUUUAACACUGAUUUUGGCCAAUAAUUUGGAUACUUGGUUAUCUGGUUAUCUUGAUUUUAAACCAGAGCCACUGGGGAAAAAAGAUCAUCAAAUCAUUGUUAUUUAUGACUAAAUGCAGGUGAACAGAGUUGUGACAACAUUAAAUACAGUUUUGCCACUGUUAAUUUUUGGAAGUAAUUUAAGAAUACAUAAUGCUCCUCCUUAAUUAAAUAGUUAAACAACUUAUGUUAAUGAGUCUACCCAUGUUUAUAGUAAUCUGAACAUAACAUUGCUUGGGUCAGACACCAGCUGCAAUAAAUGUGUAUAACUGCAUCCUCUGACAUAAACCCUUAGUUAUGAUUCUGGUACAGAAACUAAAGAUAAUUUUAAUAGGCAAAUUUAACUCUACGAUGCAUACCUAAGAACAAACUGCAGGUUAAGCAUCACAAAUCCUGGCAUGAUGGCUUUUGAGGUCAGUGGAAAAAAAAGGUUCAGAAAACGGUGUGUGGCAUAAGAAUAAAGAAAACUCCACUUAUUUGUGUACAUAUGUAGUUCUAAACUGGGAAGUUGGGAUGUGACUUUCAGAAGACAUUUGAUAUUGUCUGAAGAUAUUUUUUUUUUCGUUGCCACACUGGGAAAUGCUGCUGGCAUAUGGUGGGCAGAAGCCAGGGAUGCUGCUUCACAUUUUAAAAAGCACAGACUAGUCCCCCAAAACAAAGAAUUAUCCAGUCCAAAAGUGCUAUGGUUGAGAAACCCUAUUCUAGAGGACACACAAGACACACAGAUAGCACUGGUUACUACAGUUCAGUGAAUUCUCACUUUACAAUCUCAACUUUUUAAUUUGCAAAUCUACUUAGAAUAAAAACCUGAACAAUCCUGAUAUGCUACUUACCUAUAGAUUUCGUUCUAAGAAGUUUUGGGAAUACAUCAAAGAGAAAUAGUAAGGUUAUUAGUUCAAUCCAAGAGCCUAAGAUACAUUUUUGCCUUUUCCCUGAAGGUGCUACUCUGUGUGUCAUCUGCCAAGAUAGAAGCUCCUUACGCCAAACAAUUGUCCGCUUAGAGCUAGAGGACGAGUGGCAAUUCCGCCUCCGGGAUGAGUUUCAAACUGCCAACAGCAACGAUGACAAGCCUCUUUACUUUCUUACUGGACGUCAUGUAUGAGCUUUGGAAGAGACCAAAAAUUGCAAAGGGAUGCCUAGCUGGGGUGGGACAGAAACAAUUAUUGAGGGAUUUUUUUUUUUCUUUAAAGUACAAUCACUGUGGAGCAAAGUGCAACAUAUUUGUCUAUUCUCCAAAGAACUCCCCAAAUCUAACCAAGUCUUUGGGGACAUCACUCUCCUUCAGUUCUAAUUACAGGACCCUACAUUCAGGCGAACUCCACUGUAGGCAAUUAUGCAAUUACUUAAGAUGUGGUCUGCCUGUGGGAGCCUGAGGAGGAUAGACUUUGGAGAACAAACAUGGAGUUUGCAUUGGUUUUUUUCUACUAUACUGCAUUGGGGGAAAAACUGUCAGCAUUAGCUUGCUUGAAUGUGUUACAUGAGAUACACCAUUGGUGUGGAAAUAAUUGAAGAUUAACAUUUGAGGCCUGAACCCUCAGUUUCUCUUCAGAUCUGUACUUUGGUACAGUAUUACUCAGGGGUCUGAAAUGAUAGAAUGUAGAAGUUAUUUGUAUUUAAAAAAAGUAGUAGUUUUGUCUUUUUCUGUGCAGUGUUAGUUUAAGAUUUAUAAUCUUUUAUGUAUUGAAACUUUUGGCAAAAUUUCCACAGGAGUUAAGAGUUUACUAUUUAAAGUGAACAAACAAAUCAGUAAAUGCAGAGCAGGCAUUGUGUACAUUUAUGAAGAGUCUCCUAGCUUAAUUCCUUUGCUUUUCCCAUUCUUUAAAAGUUUCCAGUCUUAAAGCACACCAUGUCUAAGAGAAUAUGGAAUAGUGAUUAAUCUCGUUUAAGAACCUGAUUAAGCAGUUGGGCCAAUUAAGCAGCUUUUAGGAGUUAACCUGUACCCACCCUGUUUUGAUUGAAAAUAAGCAGCUAGCACUAGGCAAACCUAAAUGUCAAGCUGAGGCUCUGCUGUGGAGUAGAACCAGUCGUGCCCCCCGUUUCGCCCCCCAAACUCAAGCACAGCUUCCUUAAAAAAAAAAAAAAAAACAAUAUUAGCUGCCUUACACGGACAACACAGAAAGUGCUGGAAUGGGAAAUAGAACCAUGGAAAGAGAGAACUAUUUUACUUAAUUAUACCACUGACAUAUUUGUGAGGAGUAAAAAAGAUGCCAGGAGUUUUUGACUCAAAAUCAGUACAUGAUGUCUGACCAAUAUAAACAGUAGGAUUUCUCACCAAAUAUUUUAAUGAAGAGCAGAUUCUAGGAAAUAUUCUAGAAUAGUCUAUUUGAAGUUUAUACUUAUAUUACUCCGGUUCUCAUCAUUAAACAAUCUCUUUGAGAUUUUUUGAUUUGCCCACAUGUAUCACUUUAUCCCCACUUAAAAUGGCCUUUGUUACUUGAAUCUGUCUAGUGACCUGAAACUACUGAGAGGGGCCUACGAAGCCUGCAUUUACUUAGAACAAAUAGUGUUUUAUCUUGUGAUAACAAGGAGUUUACAGCUAGUGGAAAGAUGGAAUGUAUUAGAUUGAAAAUGGCUUGCAGAUCUCUUGGUUUUAAUAUAGCUACUUUUAAUGCUUUAAAUGUAUUUUGAAAUGAACAAUUCCUUUUAAUCCCCUUUUUGUCCUUCAAAGAAGACCUGCCUUAUUAUAUAUGCUUUAAAAACUUAGUAUAGCAGAAUUUUUAGCAAAGAGGUACGUUCUAAAGCAACUUGGUGUAGAUAUGAAUGUAUUUCACUUUUUCCUGUUUUGUUGAAAGGGCCUGAUGCAGAUGAUAUCAAAAAACCCACUGUUUGUGCAAUAUUCCAAUAACAUUUACUAUAGGGCAAAUAAAAUACUUGAAGUAGUUCUAAUUUUACCUGGGGCAGAUGGCCUCUCAGUGUUUGUUCUGGUUUUAUGUAUGAUUUCAUGGUCUCAAGGUUUUUUUAAGUUUCUUUAGAUGCAGGUACUCCAUGUUAGGGCUGCACUCUAAAAAUUCAAAUUAUUAUGAGUUCAGAACUACUACUCAACUCUGUGGAAGAGAAAUGCCAGAAUAAAGUCCAACACAUCAACUCGAUAGUGGAGAAAUUUAAGUUGACCUGCCUAAUUUUUCUUCUUUUUUUUUUUUUUUUGAAAGCCUCUUAAAUCACUUUAUCACUCUUAAUUCUUUAGAGAAUGUUAGGUCAUCUCUAAGGAGAAAAUUGCACAAGCACAGGACACCAUGAUUUGUUAGUGUAUGUGUUCAGUUUAUGCUUUUCCACCCUUUAAAACACUAGUGUGGAGUGAAUGGAUUCACUAGGCCCACACAAUAACUCACCUACACACCUGCUAAAAACUAUGGCAUGUAUGUAUGACACUUCACACAGGUUAAUACUAAAUGUAAACUAAAGAUUAGAAUUGUAGUUGUCAAUUUGGUUUGGCUGUAAUUUAUGCAAAUGCUUUUUGUGACUUUUAGAAAAAGGGGUACCUGUGUUACAUUAUUACUGUAAAAUUUUAACCAAAAUUUGGUGAAUUUCACUAGUCAGUCUACCUCACGUUUUGUUGAUGAUUCAAGUUGUCGUAAGUUGUGUCUACAGUAUGUUCUUGUCCUUUCAUUUAAUUUGGUGAAUGUAUUAAAAUUCUCUCCCACUCCCCACCCCCCAAAAUAGUUUGUUUUCUUUAAACUAAUUUUCUAUUAUGUUAAAAAAAAACAGAAUGUGCUCUCAGACUCUGACAACAUCCAAAAAAGCUUGGAAAUACCAAUAUUAUAGGAUGGAUGACUCAAAGAUUCUUCUAUUCUGGCACAAUAGUCCAAGAAAGUAGCAGAUAAAUAUUUGUUGAAUGAAAAUCUGUAGCUCAAAUACAUACACACACCUAAAGUAUCUAUAGACCCAUUUGUAGAGUUGCACAUAAUUAUAUAUGACAGACCUAGAAAUGAUUAAAGAAUUAGAAAUAUUCACACUACCUCCCCCAUCUUUUAUAGAUGGCAACUACACUCAGUUUGGUGUCCUACUCAGAAACACAGUGUUGGGUUUACUAGAACUGUGUAGUAUGAUACAAGGUACAUACUGUUAACUUCCAAUUUAUUUCUAAACUGCCUAAUUUUAUCAACUCUUGAACCCAUUAUACUCUCUUCUAGGCUAAAGGCCCCUUGUCAUUUACCUCAGGAGAGACAAUAAAUAUUUCUAAGCCUGAUAGCAGACUGACAGGAAACAAACUACCAGUUUUCCUUCUACAGCAUAUUCCCAAGCAGCCACCCUGAAAAGACUAAACACACCCAAGGCCAAAUCUUCACAUUCAACUACCUAGAUAGACCUGGACUAACAUCCUGGGAACAAACAUUUCUCAGGCUUCUCUUCACACAUGAAAACUUAUCCCCGCUUAAGCUUCCUCUGACUCUAGGAGAAUACUGCUAUAACUGAAGCCCUGGCCUCACUGGAAAAGUCAUCACCAAAGAUGAUUUCAGGAACAGUUAGUAAGGUCAAAGAAAAAGCCUUUCACAUAAUAAAUUCACUAUACUCUUAACUAGCAAGUUCUAAACUAAAGCAUCUACUCCAGGGCCUAUGACAACAGAUGGAACAAGUUCUAAGAAAGAAAAGGCAACCAGUAAGUCAUUCUCUGACCACUUCAUUCCAUAAGUAGCUCAUGUAUUUUAUUUUUACUAGGAGGGUGGUAGGGGUGAAGGACUGCCUUAAAACAGAAUUCUUCCCGUUUUCUGUUAGAAGGCUCAAGGGUCAUGAGAAAGAGACAGUUCUGUAGUCACUACCCUAGGAAUCAACUCAGCAAUCUUAACCCUAGGUGAAGUGUGGGUGGUCAGGAAUAUGGCUAUAUUUCCAUCCAAAGGGAUAAGACUCCCUUGCUGAGCAACUCCAAGUAAGUAAGAACAAUUAAAAUACCAUUACAAUGGGGCUG
rnacentral:lncRNA from 1 species